UACAGAGGUCUCAAGCGUUGUUCGGAUUCAUUGGGCGUAAAGGGUGCGUAGGUGGCGGGGUAAGUCAGGUGUGAAAUCUCGGAGCUCAACUCCGAAACUGCACUUGAUACUGCCUUGCUGGAGUACUGGAGAGGAGAUUGGAAUUUACGGUGUAGCAGUGAAAUGCGUAGAUAUCGUAAGGAAGACCAGUGGCGAAGGCGAAUCUCUGGACAGUUACUGACACUGAGGCACGAAGGCCAGGGGAGCAAACGG
rnacentral:rRNA from 1 species